GCUCGCUUCGGCAGAACAUAUAACUAAAAUUGGAAUGAUACAGAAAAGAUUAGCAUGGCCCCUGCACAGAGGAUGGCAUGCAAGUUUGUGAAGCAUUCCAUAUUUAA